rnacentral:misc_RNA from 1 species
AACGCAGUUUAUUCCACAACUUUGGUAAUGACUUAUUUUUCUUCAUAAUCUAAUAAUAAUUUAUUUAAAUUAAUUAAGAUAAUACAUUAUUUAUUGUCAUUCUCCUUGAUUUAUGACAUUGUUUUGAAGCUCUUUGAAAUUUAAAAAAUAAGCCUAGCCUAAUUUAGUUCAAUAACUAAAAGUUUAUUAUUUAUCUCAUAGAAUCUGAUAUUUGAUUAUCACUUUCCUAAUUUCUCUAUCAAAAAAGGAAAGAAAUUUGGAAAACAAAAACCA